CGUGUAGGCGGCGCGGUAAGUCGGAUGUUAAAGACCCACGGCUCAACCGGGGGAAUGCGUUCGAUACUGCCGUGCUUGAGUGCGGGAGAGGAAAGUGGAAUUCCAGGUGUAGCGGUGAAAUGCGUAGAUAUCUGGAGGAACACCGGUGGCGAAGGCGGCUUUCUGGCCCGCAACUGACGCUGAGACGCGAAAGCGUGGGGAGCGAACAGGAUUAGAUACCCUGGUAGUCC
rnacentral:rRNA from 1 species